AAAAGUAAGUAAGGGCGCAUGGCGGAUGCCUUGGCUCUCGGAGGCGAUGAAGGACGUGAUAAGCUGCGAUAAGCUGCGGGUAGGUGCAAAUGACCUUUGAUCCGCGGAUUUCCGAAUGGGACAACCCAAUAUCUUGAAGAGAUAUUAUCCAUCUUAUGAUGGAGGCGAACGCAGGGAACUGAAACAUCUUAGUACCUGUAGGAAUAGAAAAUAAAUAAUGAUUCCCCAAGUAGUGGCGAGCGAACGGGGAAUAGCCCAAACCAUAUGUGUUACGGCAUGUAUGGGGUUGUAGGACCACGUCGUGGGACGAAAGUUAGUGAGUAGAAUGAUCUGGAAAGUUCAGUCAUAGACGGUGAUAACCCGGUAUACUAAGCUAACUGAACCCUAGUGGUAUCCUGAGUAGCGCGGGACACGAGGAAUCUUGCGUGAAUCUGCCGGGACCAUCCGGUAAGGCUAAAUACUCCCGAGAGACCGAUAGCGAACCAGUACUGUGAAGGAAAGGUGAAAAGCACUUCGAACAGAAGAGUGAAAUAGUCCCUGAAACCAUGCGCCUACAAGCGGUCGGAGCAGUUUAAACUGUGACGGCGUGCCUUUUGCAUAAUGAACCUACGAGUUACUUUUUCCGGCAAGGUUAAGGAUCUUGAGAUCUGCAGCCGAAGCGAAAGCGAGUCUUAAUAGGGCGGAUAGUCGGAAGGAGUAGACGCGAAACCAAGUGAUCUACCCUUGGCCAGGUUGAAGGACAGGUAACACUGUCUGGAGGACCGAACCGAUAAGCGUUGAAAAGCUUCCGGAUGAGCUGAGGGUGGGGGUGAAAGGCUAAUCAAACUUGGAGAUAGCUCGUACUCCCCGAAAUGCAUUUAGGUGCAGCCUUGAUUUAUACUAAUAUGAGGUAGAGCGACUGAUAAGAUGCGAGGGCUUCGCCGCCUAUCAAGUCUUGACAAACUCCGAAUGCGUAUUAGUUCUAUAUCAGGAGUGAGGGCAUGGGUGCUAAGGUCCAUGUCCUAAAGGAGAACAAUCCGGACCAUCAGCUAAGGUCCCGAAAUAAUUGCUAAGUUGAUCUAACGAAGUCAGAUUGCUAAGACAGCUAGGAUGUUGGCUUGGAAGCAGCCAUUCAUUUAAAGAGUGCGUAACAGCUCACUAGUCGAGGAGUUUGGCGUGGAUAAUAAUCGGGCAUAAGCAAUUUACCGAAGCUAUGGGAUGUGCAAACAUCGGUAGGGGAGCAUUCUACUCAGCGUCGAAGGUGAAGCGUAAGCUUUGCUGGAGCGUGUAGAAAAGCAAAUGUAGGUAUAAGUAACGAUAAAGGGGGUGAGAAACCCCCUCGCCGAAAGACUAAGGUUUCCUGAUCAACGCUAAUCGGAUCAGGGUUAGUCGGGUCCUAAGGCUCAGCCGAACGGUGAGGCCGAUGGCAGAACAGGUUAAUAUUCCUGUACUACCUUAAAGAGUGACGUGGAGACGGAGGCGUGACAGUGCCGCGAACUGACGGAAUAGUUCGUUGAAGGGUGUAGAUGUUGAUCGGGGCAGGCAAAUCCGCUCCGAGAGUCGAACCUGAUAGUAUGGAGCGUUCUUCUGAACAAUCCAAUAGUGCAUGUAAGCAUACUCCCAAGAAAAUCCGCUAAACUUAAUCUUUAAGGUACCCGUACCGUAAACGGACACACGUAGUCGGGUUGAAUAUACUAAGGCGCUUGAGUGAUUCACGGUUAAGGAACUAGGCAAAUUGACCCUGUAACUUCGGGAUAAAGGGUCCCCACUGCGAGGUGGGGCGCAGAGAAUCGGUCCAGGCAACUGUUUAACAAAAACACAGGGCUAUGCCAAAUUGAAAGAUGAAGUAUAUAGCCUGACACCUGCCCGGUGCUGGAAGGUUAAGAGGAGAUGUCAUCGCAAGAGAAGCAUUGAAUUGAAGCCCCAGUAAACGGCGGCCGUAACUAUAACGGUCCUAAGGUAGCGAAAUUCCUUGUCGGGUAAGUUCCGACCUGCACGAAUGGUGUAAUGAUCUGGACACUGUCUCAACCGUGAGCUCAGUGAAAUUGUAGUAUCGGUGAAGAUGCCGAUUACCCGCGAUGGGACGAAAAGACCCCGUGAACCUUUACUAUAGCUUAACAUUGAAUUUGGGUAAUUGAUGUGUAGGAUAGGCC
rnacentral:rRNA from 1 species